rnacentral:rRNA from 1 species
AGCGUAGGUGGCCUAACAUGUCAACUGUGAAAACCCGGAGCUCAACUCCGGACUUGCAGUUGAAACUGGUAGGCUUGAGGACGGUAGAGGAAGACGGAACUGCCAGUGUAGGGGUAAAAUCCUUAGAUAUUGGCAGGAACGCCGGUGACGAAGGUGGUUUUCUGGGCCGGUUCUGACACUGAUGCUCGAAAGCCAGGGGGAGCGAACG